rnacentral:piRNA from 1 species
UACUAAGAUACACCCAUGUCUGGCUAAAGGC